AAAUAGUUCUACAAAUAGUUCUAGAAAUCCAUCACACAGUAAUUCCCAAGAAUCGUCACCAGAGGCAUCUGGGACGUCUGCUCAAGAAGCUGUGGACGUUGCUUCCAACAAAUCGGAUAGUGUAGUUUUCCAGAGCUCCGGUAUAUAUUCAAAUGGUACAGACCGUGAUUCCAAUGGUAACCAAGCAGCUG